GCUCUCCUCCCUCACCUCCAGUUUCACAACUGAUGUCCAGGAGCAGAACCGGUGUAAUUGUGGAGGAGAUGCUUCUGUAAUAGAUUUCCAACCUGAGGAGGACAAAGAGAUGAACAGUCAGCUCUGACCUCUUGUUUGAGCACCAACCUCAAAUAUCCAAAUACCCAACAGCCA